UUGGCAAAACGGCCGGACGUGUUUCGGGAGCAGCUCCACGGUUCCAGCACCUGGCAGAGCUCAUAAAUCAGCCGGAAAAUGGAUGACAAUACGGAAUUCUUGAACGAAAUGUGGCUGGAAAGUGUGGUAAUUGGCGGCUUUCGCGUGUGGCACAUUAUAGCCGCCGUCCUAGGCGUUUUCCUGUUAAUUAUGAUUAUGGUCUGCUGCUGCAUCCGCUUCCGGAUCCCACGCACCAAACAGGAAAUCGAGGCGGACUACCAGCGCAAACAGAUCACGAAGAAGUUCCGCGAGAAGCUGCAGCAGAUCAAGAACUCUGAAAUGGACGACAUGGACCUGCAGAAGGCACUUGCUUACAUCAAAUUGGAACAGUACGAUGAUCCCUAAACCAAAGGCCCUGUAAAUUCACCCGCACUCUGUACAAACUAAUGGAAGUACUUAAGCAGCAACUCUCUAUCGCAAGAACACUACAUUUUUUGUGCCCGAAUCCAGAGCGAUUAUCUGAAUUUCCAGGCCAGCGUGGAGAGCAUGAACGAGAAGCAGAACGUUAAAUUUAAGAUCUAAGUGCCUGAUAUAGUAUUGUGCAGCGGAGAUGGUAUCCUUAAUAUUAGUAACCUA